rnacentral:piRNA from 1 species
CACACAGAGAGCAUGGCACACAGAG